rnacentral:rRNA from 1 species
UACGAACGCUGGCGGCGUGCUUAACACAUGCAAGUCGAACGGUGAACCUGCUUCGGUGGGGGGAUCAGUGGCGAACGGGUGAGUAACACGUGGGCAACCUGCCCCCCGGCUCUGGGAUAACUCCAAGAAAUUAGGGGCGUAAUACCGGAUAUGACCGCUGACCGCAUGGUCUGGUGGUGGAAAGAUUUAUCGGCUGGGGAUGGGCCCGCGGCCUAUCAGCUAGUUGGUGAGGUAACGGCNCACCAAGGCAUUGACGGGUAGCUGGUCUGAGAGGACGACCAGUCACACUGGAACUGAGACACGGUCCAGACACCUACGGGUGGCAGCAGUCGAGAAUUUUUCUCAAUGGGGGAAACCCUGAAGGAGCGACGCCGCGUGGAGGAUGAAGGUCUUUCGGA